rnacentral:rRNA from 1 species
UACGUAGGCAGCAAGCGUUGUUCGGAGUUACUGGGCGUAAAGGGUGCGUAGGCGGUCCUAUAAGUAUGGUGUGAAAUCUCCCGGCUUAACUGGGAGGUGCGCUAUAGACUGUGGGACUAGAGUGUGGGAGAGGAAAGUGGGAAUUCCUGGUGUAGCGGUGAAAUGCGUAGAUAUCAGGAGGAACACCAAUGGCGAAGGCAGCACUCUGGGACGUGACUGACGCUGAGGCACGAAAGCUAGGGUAGCGAACGGG